GGUGAAGUUUUCGGAUCGCGGCGACGCCGGCGGUUCGCCGCCGGUGACGUUGUGAGAAGUUCAUUAAACCUUAUCAUUUAGAGGAAGGAGAAGUCGUAACAAGGUUUCCGUAGGUGAACCUGCGGAAGGAUCAUUG
rnacentral:rRNA from 2 species